ACUAUAUGCAGAUGAAAAACAAACAAUAAAGAGUGUUAUUGUGUCAAUGUAUUAUGGCCAUGAAUGGUGACAUAGACCACACCCAAAACCGCACUGCAACAGUGCUGUAACAGUAUCAAAAUCUCUACAUAUACAUAUGUAUCCAUGUAUUUCCGUUAUUAUUUGAACCGCACCGCACUUCUCCCGUACCGCAAAACGCAGUCACCAUUCGGACAUAUGAAUAGAAUAAAAGGGACUUUUUUUUUACCGCAAAAACAUCAUACUCUAUUAAGCUUGUUCGAAUAGGUUGGCCUCAUGAGCCAACCACUCCGGAACAAAAGGGCUUACAUGUGAAAAAAGUUCAUCUCUGUUUCGUGCGCUCUUAGCGAGACAGUCAGCCCGGACAUUACAUAAAAAUUAUUGGAUUCAAUUGAACUCAGUCUAGCUCUACCACUUUCGAUAACAAGUUAUGACAAAAUUUAAACACAUGAAACAAUCCAACAAUU
rnacentral:sRNA from 1 species